rnacentral:misc_RNA from 1 species
AUACUGAAACCUCCUUGCAAAGCAGCUAGCCCCUCCACAGAUGUUCCAGUUAAUAGAUCACUAACAACAAAAGUUCCUAGGCGUUUAGGAUCGGAUGGAGACCAUUGGUAGGAAGUAACCAAAACACAGUUGCGUUCGAAGCAGUGAUGUUUGGAAAUCUCAAUUCAGUAACGCUGUUGUAAUGUGGGACAACAGGUUCAGAGGUAAGAACCAAGGCUUGGGACAACAGGUUCAGAGGUAAGAACCAAGGCU